UUCAAACACUAUUCGUGCUCGCAAAAUGUACUCACAGUCACAGGAGCUCCUCCGAGACUACCAUGAACUGAGGAAGAAGAAGAAGCUUCGAAUUCCGUAGUGUAUCCGACAACGUGCUCAGAGGGCCACAGAUCCACGCUCUUCCUCCGAACCAAGCAAGGCGGCUCCAUCUGCUUGCUCUGCUUCUCCAACCUCAUCUCCAACCCCCAAUCGCCCACCGUCCACGUGUCCUGCGCCCCCUCUCAGCUCUCUCAGUCCAUCUCCUCCAACCCCCCCUUCCUCCGCUCUCUCCUCGCCUUCCACCCUCACUUCCUCGUCUCGCCUCUCGUUCAUGCUCUCUCUUCCUUCGACGACGACCCCAUCGCACGACAUGUCGUCCAUCUCAUGUCCGCUCUCUGCGAUUCAGCCGGUGCCUCGCUCUGCCGACUUCGUCGCUAGGGUUUCCGACCGCCUCUCUUCUGGCGCCUUGGCCUGGAGUCGCCGUCAGCUUUAUACGCUAUUGCACUUGUCUCUAGAGGCCCUCAUGAAGACCCAAAGCGAUGAUGUCCGCUUGAAUUGUGUAGCGUUCUUGACAGUGUUGGCUCAGACUCAGAGAGGAGUUUUCGGGGCUGCAUAUGCAGUUGAUUUAAACAGCAUGAGUUCAUCCAAAGGAGAUAGCUUUGAGCAAGCAACAUAAGAUGGAAAAAAUGUGAAUCCAAUGAAAAUAUUGUUUACGGAGGCCAUCAAAGGCCCACUGCUUUCAACACCCAGCCAAGUCCAGAUCAGCACACUGGAUUUACUGUUUAAUUACAUGUCCUCCUGGGAAGGCACUUCAGGGAAAGAAACGCAAGUCCUAAUGGAAGAAAACAUUGCAGACAUGUAUUUGAAUUACUGAGAUUGUCAGGCAGCAUAUUAAAAAGAGAGAGAAUGCAGUUAUUUUACACAUUGCAGGCCUGCAGAAAACAGAAGUACACUAACAACAGUCAAGAUGAAAGUGCAAAAGAGCAUAUAAAAAGGCGGUCGCCAUCCUGGACGACAUGGGAGAAGUUUGCGAGUAUCUCAUUCACCUGAUGUUAUCCGACUCUUGUCUAGACUUCUGGGGGAUUAAAUUUUGGGGAUAAGAGAUUGUUAGAAGAAAUAGAGCUUUUCUUAAAAAAUUUAACAGUAACAGAGGGCAGCUAAGAAAAUCAUAUGAGUUUAAUUUUCUUUAUUGAAUCUCCAUUUCUCAUUUCAUUAACUGCUGUGCACAGAGUGAGACACCAGUAGUUAUGUACAGGUGCUUCCCAUUUUGAUCAUUAACUGCACUGAGAGCUUAGAACUGAAGAGACAUUACAGAAUCAAAAUACCCUUUUGUUAAA